rnacentral:lncRNA from 1 species
GUGAAAGUGAAAAGAAAUUUUUGUAAUUUUUGUACUUAAAGUGAAAUUUUAAAUUAAAACUUGUAGUUCAUUCGUACUUAUUGUAUGUUUUCUAAUAUAGCAUUUUAUGAGCAUUCACAAGCCAAAUCAAUUAACUCCACUUUUUGAACUUGCAAACAGGCAGUGGGCAUAUUCCUAGGGUUAAUCCUUUGAAAAAAAUGGACAGAGUAAGAAGACUAUAGGGAAGCUUGAGCAGGAAAGAAUUACGGCAGAUUAUUAGCAAAAACAAGAGCACCAUUUAGUUGCAUCUUAUGGCAUGAGUGAGAAGCGAGUGAAUUCUGUCAUACACCCACAGAAUGUGUGCAUAUAUGCUAAAAAAUAGAUGGGACCACUAAUCUUGAGAUCUUUGCUGUUCAAUACAGUAUUUCCUAUGUUAGGAAGAGCAAUGUGAACUCAGUUGUGGCAUCCUAAACCAACUUAACUAUAAUGGCCAGUGUAUUUUAAGAUAAAUAGUACAGUAUAAUAAUAUGACAAAAAUAGUAUACAAUUUCAUAUGUGCUACUGAUUGGAUUGAUCUAUAGUCCAAAUGUCAUUUCUCAAUUAGAUUGGCAUAUGUGAUCCACGAUUUGCAAUUAUUGUAUUGAUCAAAUCAUCAUAUGGCAUUAAAAAUAUUUUGAUAUUUGCAGUUUGAAUUGGAUUUGGAUAUUGUAAGAAACUCUUUAUAAUAAAUUUUAUCCAAUGAUUUUUAAAAUCAAAAAGAAAACCGUACUUUAAACUUAACAGACAAUACUUGCGCUAAGAAAACCAUACUUGCAAUAAGGAAAUUGAAAUUCCUCAGACAUUUUAUUUUCCUACAAAAGGGGUUUGUGUGAUAUAAUGCUAGUCUUUGUAGGUAACUUUUUAUGAAAUUUAAUGGAUAACCAUGCCAUGGAACUUUAUCUCAAACAAAAAUACUCUUUUCUACUUUUUAAGCCAAAAUUUGUUUGUCCACUUGAUUCUAUCUCUAUAAUAAUUGUUUUGACUAAUUGAUAGAUUUUGAUGAAAUUCGGUAGAGAGAUCUUGCCGUUGAAAAUGACAUGGACAUCAGCCUUUUGCUAUAAAAAUAUAAAUAGAGAUUAUGAAAAUACUGUUUUUCAGACACUUUUAUCAGUAAGUUAAUAGCAUAGAGAUAUAAACUAUUGCAACAACAAGAUAUACAGCAUACAUAUACAGUAUUUAUAUUGAUAAAAUAAUCUUAAGAUGAUACGUAUACAAAAAAAAUCACGGAUGCAUCUGAAAUCUCCGUCCAUUAUAAUUUGCAUUCCACAAACAGCAUAUUGGAAAUUGUCAUUAGAAGAAAGUGUGAAAACUUGGUGCCUUAAACUAAUAUUCAUUCUCAAGUCUGUCAGAAUUUUCUUUUGGAAACUAGAGCCUGAAAUCUCAAUAAGUGGAAUCAUCAUUUGAAAUUUAAGCUUGUUAAAACUUUUGUAUUAAAUACAAUAUCUAAAUAAAAAUUUUUUAAAUUUGCA